AUUGAACGCUGGCGGCAUGCCUUACACAUGCAAGUCGAACGGCAGCGGGGGAGAAGCUUGCUUUUCCUGCCGGCGAGUGGCGAACGGGUGAGUAAUACAUCGGAACGUGCCCUGUAGUGGGGGAUAACUAGUCGAAAGAUUAGCUAAUACCGCAUACGACCUGAGGGUGAAAGUGGGGGACCGCAAGGCCUCAUGCUAUAGGAGCGGCCGAUGUCUGAUUAGCUAGGUGGGGGGGUAAAGGCCUACCAAGGCGACGAUCAGUAGCUGGUCUGGGAGGACGAUCGGCAACACUGGGACUGAGACACGGCCCAGACUCCUACGGGAGGCAGCAGUGGGGAAUUUUGGACAAUGGGCGAAAGCCUGAUCCAGCAAUGCCGCGUGUGUGAAGAAGGCCUUCGGGUUGUAAAGCACUUUUGUCCGGAAAGAAAUGGCUCUGGUUAAUACCUGGGGUCGAUGACGGUACCGGAAGAAUAAGGACCGGCUAACUACGUGCCAGCCGCCGCCGUAA
rnacentral:rRNA from 1 species